UCGAGAAUUUUUCACAAUGGGGGAAACCCUGAUGGAGCGACGCCGCGUGGGGGAUGAAUGGCUUCGGCCCGUAAACCCCUGUCAUUUGCGAUCAAACCUUAUGGUUUAACACGUCAUAAGCUGAUAGUAGCGAAAGAGGAAGGGACGGCUAACUCUGUGCCAGCAGCCGCGGUAAUACAGAGGUCCCAAGCGUUGUUCGGAUUUACUGGGCGUAAAGGGUGCGUAGGCGGUCGGGUAAGUCUAACGUGAAAUCUUCAAGCUUAACUUGGAAACUGCGUCGGAUACUAUUCGGCUAGAGGAAUGGAGGGGAGACUGGAAUUCUCGGUGUAGCAGUGAAAUGCGUAGAUAUCGAGAGGAACACCAGUGGCGAAGGCGAGUCUCUGGACAUUUCCUGACGCUGAGGCACGAAAGCCAGGGGAGCAAACGGG
rnacentral:rRNA from 1 species